CAGUGAGGAAGGUGGGGUAUGGUUAAUAGCAUACUCAUUUGACGUUAGCUGCAGAAGAAAGCACCGGCUAACUCCGUGCCAGCAGCCGCGGUAAUACGGAGGGUGCGAGCGUUAAUCGGAAUUACUGGGCGUAAAGCGCAUGCAGGUGGUUUGUUAAGUCAGAUGUGAAAGACCCGGGGCGUCAACCUCGGAAUUGCAUUUGAAACUGGCAAACUAGAGUACUGUAGAGGGGGGUAGGAAUUUCAGGUGUAGCGGUGAAAUGCGUAGAGAUCUGAAGGAAUACCGGUGGCGAAGGCGGCCCCCUGGACAGAUACUGACACUCAGAUGCGAAAGCGUGGGGAGCAAACAGGAUUAGAUACCCUGGUAG
rnacentral:rRNA from 1 species